AAUAGAUACCCGGGUAGUCCAUGCCGUAAACGUUGGGCACUAGGUGUGGGGUCCAUUCCACGGGUCCUGUGCCGUAGCAAACGCAUUAAGUGCCCCGCCUGGGGAGUACGGCCGCAAGGCUAAAACUCAAAGAAAUUGACGGGGGCCCGCACAAGCGGCGGAGCAUGCGGAUUAAUUCGAUGCAACGCGAAGAACCUUACCAAGGCUUGACAUGCACCGGAAACAUCCAGAGAUGGGUGCCCCGUAAGGUCGUGCACAGGUGGUGCAUGGUUGUCGUCAGCUCGUGUCGUGAGAUGUUGGGUUAAGUCCCGCAACGAGCGCAACCCUCGUCCCAUGUUGCCAGCGAGUCGUGUCGGGGACUCAUGGGAGACUGCCGGGGUCAACUCGGAGGAAGGUGGGGAUGACGUCAAAUCAUCAUGCCCCUUAUGUCUUGGGCUUCACGCAUGCUACAAUGGCCGGUACAAAGGGCUGCGAUGCCGCGAGGCGGAGCGAAUCCCAAAAAGCCGGUCUCAGUUCGGAUUGGGGU
rnacentral:rRNA from 1 species